CCCCUCCUGCCACAUCCCCAUCCCCAUCCCCUUCUCUUCUUCGCGGAUGCGCCCGCCCAUGCCGCCAGUGACCCUCACCAUCGGAGCCCUCUCCCACGUCGUCGUCGGACGUCGGAGGGAGUUGUGGCUUUGGCUAGGCUAGGGUCGUUGCCGAGGCAUGGAGGCGCCCCAGUUACCCAUCUCACCGCCUCAGUGAUGGAGAGGUGCGAUAUGGAUGUGGGGAGGAGCGGGCAUGGUGCAGUGGCCGGAGGAGGCGUUGGCAUGGCGGCGGCGGCGGGAGCGGUUGGAGGCGACCGCGGGCAUCCAGUCGUCAGUCGUCACGGCAGGGGGCGAUGUGGCUGCUCAAGGUCCGGUUCAUCAUGGAAGUCACGGAGGUAACCCAUAUCCGAGCAGUACUAGACUCCGAUCGCAUGACACGCUGCUUCCACCAGUGUUGUGCUAUGAGCUUCAUGGUUGGGUGUAGACUCCUGCUUAAAGUUUUCGAUCUACACAGUUUCCGGGAUGGAUGUGUGGUGUGACUAAUUUGUUUCUUAAAAUUACAAGGUUUUCAUGUGGUUCCAGUGAAAUAUGUUGAUUGAGAUAAGUUUGAUUGAUCUGAUGAUUUUUGCUGUUUCUUACUGUUAGAAGAGGUUGAUCUCAUGUUGUUUAUUUUUUAGUAUAUGGGAUUUAUUUUGCAGGACAGAAUUUUGCAGUGGGCAGAGCGGUAAGAACAGACAAUUAAUCGACCUAAUUAAUUACAUACUCCCUCCAUUUUUGUAUAUAAGGCCACAAACUCAUAUUACAGGUACCAAGACAAAAGUUAAUGUCUUCUAAGUCAAAUAUUGCAAGCCAGCUUGUCUCCUUGUUUGCCGUGUAAAUUAAUGUGUAUUCUUCUCUUUCAUGCACAUCGAGCCAAUGCUCCUACUCCCGCAUGCAUGCAAAGGAUAGUUAAUGUCCUCCUUUGCUAGUAUUACGAAGCAAACACCAUUAAUAUUGCAUCGAUUAGUGUUAGUGGCCUUGUAUAUCUGCAAAUUGUUAUUUUGAUAGUGGCCUUGUAUAUAAAAAUGGAGGGAGUAUUUAGUGUUUGCAUUAGAUAUCAGUUUAGUUUUUAUGCAAAAUAUCGUUGCACCUCUGUUCAUCUGCUCCUCUGACCACUCCAUGCCAUGCGUAUAUGCAGUCCUUGCCUCAUUGGACAUGUUCCCUCUCAUGGCGAGCCUCAGUGGCCUGUGGCCGCCAGUGUACCCGCUCGGUGCCUGACGGUGCGAGGGCGGCCUUGUGCACUGAUAUGGCAUUGCCAAUCAUCUGAACUAUUGCUUGUGAAUAUUGCGGGCAGUGCCAAUAUUCAUGCACUUGAAAAACCUCGGACGGUGAAGAACAUGGCAUUCUUGAUAUAAUGGUUUCAAGCCUUUUGAUGGAAGCUCCUGUAUCUUCCUAGCAAGGCUGAUGGACUCUGGUGCAUGGUUUACUAGGUGAUAACUAAAACAAUCAUUCUUUGGCUGACAUUUGAAGUAAGAUUAAAAACAACCUAUAAAACAAACUGGAGAGGGUACACAUCAGAUGGAUCCCUCCAAUGGAGAAUGAACUGAAGAUUAAUAUUGAUGGCGCUUUCCACCCUGAACCAAACACUGGUGGUUGGGGGAGAGGUAAAAGUAUGUGGAGCAGGGAGAUUGGAGAAUAUUAUUAAUCCCUUACAUGCCGAGAUCAGGCUGUUAUACGGGGUGCCUAGCUAGGAAUGGAUAAAGGAGUGAGAGCCAUUGGCCUUGAAACAUAUUCAGUGUUGUUGAAGCAAGAGUUAAACAAUGAUGAAUGUGGUCUCUAUGCUGUCUACCUAGGCUUAGAGGAGCUCAAGAAAUAUCUAAAGCAAAACUUUGAAGUGUGUCGUUUUACUUCUGCUAGGAGGAACUGUAAUAAAGUAGGCCAUUGUUUCACUAGCUUUUUUUUGAACCGGGCAUUACCCCUUUCCAUUGCAAACAACGGAAAUACAACCAGUUCCGAGUACAGAGU
rnacentral:rRNA from 1 species